rnacentral:rRNA from 1 species
UACGUAGGGUGCAAGCGUUGUCCGGAAUUAUUGGGCGUAAAGAGCUCGUAGGCGGUCUGUCGCGUCUGCUGUGAAAACUCGGGGCUUAACCCCGGGCCUGCAGUGGGUACGGGCAGACUAGAGUGCGGUAGGGGAGACUGGAAUUCCUGGUGUAGCGGUGAAAUGCGCAGAUAUCAGGAGGAACACCCGUGGCGAAGGCGGCCAUCUAUCUCGGAUCUGACGCUGAUGCGCGAAAGCGUGGGGAGCAAACAGG